UUAUCAAUGGCUGCAGCUUCAACUGAUUCCAUACCCUCUGUAAACAAGGCUUGGGUGUACUCAGAAUAUGGAAAGUCUGCAGAUGUUUUGAAACUUGAUCCCAAUGUUCCUGUGCCGGAAAUAAAGGAGGACCAGGUGCUCAUCAAGGUGGUUGCUGCAGCUCUUAACCCAAUUGAUUACAAGAGGAUGUUUGGGUAUAUUAAGGCGACCGACUCUCCUCUACCUACUGUUCCAGGGUAUGAUGUUGCUGGUGUGGUGGUGAAAGUGGGAAGCCAAGUAACAAAGUUUAAGGUGGGGGAUGAAGUAUAUGGGGAUCUCAAUGAGAAAGCUGCGCAGCCAAAAAAGUUUGGGUCUUUGGCAGAGUACACUGCUGCAGAAGAAAGAGUUUUGGCUCUGAAACCCAAAAAUUUGAGUUUUGUUGAAGCUGCUAGCCUUCCCCUGGCUAUUGAGACUGCCUAUGAAGGGCUUGAACGAACUGAAUUUUCUGCUGGUAAAUCCAUUCUUGUUUUAGGAGGCGCUGGGGGGGUGGGCACACAUGUUAUUCAGCUAGCAAAGCAUGUUUUUGGUGCUUCAAAAGUAGCAGCAACUGCAAGCACUAGAAAACUGGAGCUGUUGAGAAGCUUGGGUGCUGAUUUGGCUGUCGACUAUACCAAGGAGAAGUUUGAAGAAUUGCCUGAGAAAUUUGAUGUGGUAUAUGAUACAGUUGGGGAGUCUGAUAGGGCAGUGAAGGCAGUGAAAGAAGGUGGGAAAGUAGUGACAAUAGUAUCAGGUCCAGCAGCACCACCUGCCGUCCAUUUUGUACUGACUUCAACUGGGACUGUAUUGGAGAAGCUGAAGCCAUACUUGGAGGGUGGGAAGGUGAAGCCGGUGCUUGAUCCCACAAGCCCAUAUCCCUUUUCCAAGACUGUUGAAGCAUUUGCCUACCUUGAAACUUCCAGGGCUACAGGGAAGGUGGUUGUGCAUCCCAUCCCAUAAGAAAGAUGAUAGAGAUUGUGCAGGCAGGCAGGCAGGCAGGCAGGCAGGCAGGCAAUCAGUCAGUUUGUGAGUUAUGUAUUUGUAAUCUGCUGGUUGUGUAAACUUAAAGUGUUGUAACAUGUAAUAAUGAUGUAAUAAUGGGGAUGUGAGAUGCUUAUAUGUACUAUAUAUGAAGUUGGGAGUUUUGAUUGAGGGGCUUGGGCGCUGAUCUUGCUAUUGAUUAUACCAAGGACAACUUCAAAGACCUGCCUGAGAAAUUUGAUGUAGUCUAUGAUGCAGUUGGACUGUCGGAUAGGGCAGUGAAGGCAGUGAAAAAGGGGGGGAAGGUUGUGACAGUGGCAGGCCCAAUAACACCACCAGCCUUCAUUGUUAUGCUGACUUCUAGUGGGUCUAUCUUGGAGAAACUCAAUCCUUACAUGGAGAGUGGGAAGGUGAAGGCGGUGAUUGAUCCCACUGGCCCAUAUCCCUUUUCUAAGAACCUUGAAGCAUUUGCCUAUCUUCAAGCUAGUAGCAGAAGCUAUAGGAAAGGUGGUUGUGUAUCCCAUCCCAUCCCUAUGAGAUACAGAGUUAAGAGUUUGGCAAGCGAGCAUGUGCGCGCACACAUGUAAAUAUAUAUGAGAUCCUCAUAAAUAAAAUAAAAUAUGGAGGAGGGAAUGUGAGAAACAUGUUACAUAAGUUGGAGUUUCGUUACUUGUUUUUCAUGCUACUUGCUUUGUUUUUGGUUACUUGUUUUGCUGCAAUGUAAUAAGGAUCGAAAACACCUUGGCUAAGGUGGUUCCCCUUGA